UACGUAGGGGGCAAGCGUUGUUCGGAUUUACUGGGCGUAAAGGGCGCGUAGGCGGCGUGACAAGUCACUUGUGAAAUCUCCGGGCUUAACCCGGAGCGGCCAAGUGAUACUGUCGUGCUAGAGUGCGGAAGGGGCUACUGGAAUUCUCGGUGUAGCGGUGAAAUGCGUAGAUAUCGAGAGGAACACCUGCGGCGAAGGCGGGUAGCUGGGCCGACACUGACGCUGAUGCGCGAAAGCCAGGGGAGCGAACGGG
rnacentral:rRNA from 1 species